CAGCAGCCGCGGUAACACAGAGGGUGCAAGCGUUAAUCGGAAUUACUGGGCGUAAAGCGCGCGUAGGUGGUUUGUUAAGUUGGAUGUGAAAUCCCCGGGCUCAACCUGGGAACUGCAUCCAAAACUGGCAAGCUAGAGUAUGGUAGAGGGUGGUGGAAUUUCCUGUGUAGCGGUGAAAUGCGUAGAUAUAGGAAGGAACACCAGUGGCGAAGGCGACCACCUGGACUGAUACUGACACUGAGGUGCGAAAGCGUGGGGAGCAAACAGGAUUAGAUACCCCCGUAGUCCCUGUCUCUUAUAA
rnacentral:rRNA from 1 species